UACGUAGGGUGCAAGCGUGGUCCGGAAUUAUUGGGCGUAAAGAGCUCGUAGGCGGUUUGUCGCGUCUGCUGUGAAAAUCCAGGGCUUAACCCUGGACCUGCAGUGGGUACGGGCAGACUAGAGUGCGGUAGGGGAGAUCGGAAUUCCUGGUGUAGCGGUGAAAUGCGCAGAUAUCAGGAGGAACACCGGUGGCGAAGGCGGAUCUCUGGGCCGUAACUGACGCUGAGGAGCGAAAGCAUGGGGAGCGAACAGG
rnacentral:rRNA from 1 species